rnacentral:sRNA from 1 species
UUCCCGGUGACGGAACGUCUCCAGCCUC